rnacentral:hammerhead_ribozyme from 1 species
CUCUACUGAGGAGUCCGAAAUAGGACGAAACAGCUGUCCACUAC